GAUAUUGAUCAAAUGUUAGGUAUCAGGAGCUUUUCAGAUGCUUUGAAUGCACUUUGUCUCCUCCAGACACUGCUCAGCCCAGACUAAGUCUCUCACAAUCAGAUCUGUGCUGGGAUUGUUCUGGUCUUGAGGCAACCUAUAGCAUUUUUGUUAAGCACUUGCAGAAUCAUAAAGAUCUUGUCACAGUUCAGACUCACAAACCACACAGUUUUAGGGACCCCAGGUGGUGGUCCAGUAGGACCAGUCUCUUAUGCUGUGUGCUUGGUACUUUCCUCAUCUGUAUCUAUGCUGGAUCAGACUUGGGAGGACCUGUUUGUGCUGCUCAGGACCUAUGUCUUGAUAUUUGUUUCCUGGACUGUGGAUUCUCAUUCUUUCUGAGGCUUAGACUACAGGGCAGCUUCUCCCAAAGGGAGGACAAGUGUUGAAGUCAUCAAGCACUUUAUUUUUGUCUCUAUAAUGCAAAUGAAAGUAGUUAAGAUUCUGAGCUGGCUCAGAGAGAAUUCAAGUUUCUAAAUGACUCCUUUCUCUCUAAAUGUGAAGGAAUUCAUGACCUUAUGGCCUUCCUGUCCCUUUACUCUCUGAGCCCCUUUCACCCUUCCACACCGCUUUGAUGGGUUACUAAGGAAGCUGUCCGUUCCUUCUAAUCAGUGUCAGUUGCUGAACAAACUCCUAGAACUGAUACUGUCCUUUCACUUAAGCUGCUCUGGUCACUGAUAAUAUUCCCUUCUCCGGGCCAGCCUCCUCUAUAAAUUUCAUUUUGCCAUCGAUCAUGAAUUUUAAUUAAUGUGCGUUAAUUUAAAGCACCCUAUAGCAAACCAAACCCAAAUCCAGUUACAGCCUGUGAUAAGUCACUUCUUCAAAAAAGGGAACAAGGUCCAUUCUUCACUGAGAUGGGGCGGGGGGGGAGGGUGUGUAUUGUGGGCAAAAUGUGACAACUUGGGAGGCACCCUCAUGAGCAUUAAAAUGAAAAUCUUGGGAGGAGUGUUGUUCUUCUCAAAAGUUCCCUUAAGUCUAGAUAAUCCUGCUCCAGGAAAUAGGGAUAGUUAACAAUUUUAAAGCAAAAUCCAGCUCAUGAUGUUAUGACACUUUGUAUUUAAACCAGUAAAGCAAAUAGUCUGAUAAUUGCUGGUGGAAGUGUGGGGAGGUGCCAUCCUCGUGAAGAAGGACAUGCAUGAGUCUCUCUUGGAUCCAUGGAAUGAGGGAAACUGCAGGAUGCUCAGAGUAUAUUCAUCCAGAAGGCAGUUUCACUCGGGAGGUGUUCAUGUCCAUUACGAAAGCUGAGGAUGGGUAGGGGAGGAGGAAGGGAAAGCUAGGGGAGUCCGUGAUGGCCCUUCUCCUGGUGUCACAGAGCUAAGAGCUGCACCUGAGUCUCUUGGGUCCGCCUUGGUUACCGUUGUUGAUGAUAAGCUUUGGAAAAUAGCAGGACCCAAAGCUAAUGACCUUCCAGAUGUCUGUUCCUUUACUCAUUCCCAAGACGUGAGUGUUCACUCCAACUUGGAGCUUGUUUCCUGGGCAUAACUGGCCUGAAGCUACUUCUUGUUUUUUGAUUCCAUCUGUCACCUGAGAUGCGACAGGUUUCAAGGCACUUGCUGAGGGUCGCUCUCAUGGGGACUCGAAGUUUGCUUGAUCCAAGGCCAAAAACACCAGGGAAAGUAACAGCUGUCCAUGGCAGUGCCAGGAAAGCAAGCACCGCAUCCUGGCGGCCUUUGGCUGUAACUGUGCCCACUCGGCCAUGAGCAAUGAGUGGGGAACCUGGAUGCUAUCACAUCUAUAACAUCUGCAGGGAGGCCACUGGUGAGCCCCCAGCCAACGCUCAGGCUGUUCCCUUUGGACCACAGCACCCAGAAAGCUCCUCUUCGUCUCCCGGGCAGAUGGAGUGACUCAUCCCACUACCCACAGAAUCUGAGCCCCAGGGUGUGUCUCCCUCGCCCUCCUUGCGCUAAGAGACUCAGGCUCUGAAACCCGCCAGGACAUGGCUUCAGGGAAUGGGGCCGCAGGAAUGUGAGUGUGCUGGGCUGCCCGCUUCUCUUAGAUAAGGAUGCUCUCCAUUUCCAGAGGGUAUAUAUAUAUAAAUGUAUUUUUUUUUUCUUGUAAAACCAAAACAUGCCUGCCUGAAACCUCAGUCUUAUACAGAGACCAGUCUUUGUAGUUAACUCCCCAUGUCAUUGUCACAUCUGAAUUGUCAUUGAUCAUUUGCUUUUGAAAUCAAGGGCUAUUUUCGUGUUCCCUUUGGCCAUGACAUAGAACCAGUGGAAAAUCAGACAUGAGGCCCUGACACUGCAUCUGCCAGAGGUGUGCUCUUGUAACUUAUUAGUCACAUCUGUAAAUUCACCCCAGCAGCCUCACUAUACCUAAUUUGGCCUCUUUGUCAUGCUUGCGCCUGCUCCAACACACAUCACACGUGUAUACACACACACUCCUAACAGAUAGAUCCCAAACUGCCCAUGUCCAUUACGUUAUGGAGGAUCAGGGAUAUACAUUUUCCUGGUAAAUGAAAGUGUUCUUUUGGAACUGGAUGGACAGAUUGCAGUUUUUUGAGCCACCAUGUUUCCUUUGCUCUUCUGAGCCUGUGGAUCACCGACGCCUCAAGCUUUGACAGAAUAGCCAAGCUUUAUGAUAAGGGUUGUAAUAGAACACACAGGCGUACUAUGCCUGUCCCUAUUGAACCCUGUGGAAUCCAUGUGGUCCUCAGAUAUCCCAUUAGUGGGUCAGUGCUAAGAGGAUGGAGAAGCAAAAGACAGGCUCAAGCACAGACAGGCUCGAUGCUUAGAUAAACACAGUUCUAUGUGUACGCACAUCUCCUCUUGACAACACCACGAGCAGGGGUGGAGAGGUUCUGUCCUCAGUGGGGACACGAAAGGCAAAUGUACCGUGGGCGAUUCUUUAAAUUUUUCUUCUCCCAGGGUCAAGAGUGGGGAAACUAUCACGACCUCACGCCAGCAAAGAGGCUAGAGAAACAUCCAGGCAGAACUGUUAUUGCAAAAAACAGAACAGAGCAAAAAUACCCUUUCUGUCAUGCAAACACAAUUGGAAAAUGAUGGGGGCACUUACAGCCGUGUUUUCUUUCCCCUGGUUCCCUUACUAUCUUGCAUCCUUGUUCUCAAUAUAGGGCUCCUGAGGUGUUCUGUGUUCUAAGUCAGCCCCAAGCAGCUCACCCUCAAAAACACGUGCAGUGCAUAUGCACCAUCAGGAUGAGAAGCUGAGAGCACAGAACUUGAAUGUAUGCACGGUAUUUAAUAUUCUCAAACCAGAACCCAACAAGCCUAGUACAGUCAGCCCCACUUGACUCAUAUCUUAAUGAUGGGGGACAGGGCCUGCGGCGCAUAACUGAGUUCCUAGGAUCCCAGAAAAGAGAACAACUUUGUUGCUGGAUUCCUCCUGAGUACGUUCAGUGAUCUGGGCAAUUACCUUGGUCACUUCUUGGCAGCAGGCACAAGAAAUGGGGCACAGAGAAGUUUGAGGAGUCAUUGCUUACGCAUUCUUAGCACAAUUCCCUGAGCUGUGGCAGUUUCUAGCCUGACUCUGCUACCCCACCUUGGAGAAGGAGAGUUUCUGAGGUCACCAGCAGCCCGCUUAUGUCUUCACCAUAACCAUUCCUCCAGAUGGCUUCCUUUGGCAUGGAAGUAUGAUCGUCUUUUAAUUUUACAGAUGAAAAAAGUUGAAACACAGCAGAAUUUGAUGAUUAGUCAAAACUAAGGUUAUGUAGGAAAUUUUUGGCAGAACCAAAUUUGUCUGAAUUUCCAACUCUCAGCCUGGCUCGCCAAGUAAUGCUGCCUGAAUUAUUCACCCCGUCCUGUGUCCAGCAUCUAACAGAGGGGGAAAAUUCAGGGGAAAAAAAUAGGCUGCUGGUUGAUGGUUUACUCAGAGAUCUUUCCCAUGAGAAUUUGUCUUCUUCACAGAGCCAUACACACACACACACACACACACACACACACACACACACACACACACACUCCACAGGAGUCUAAGAGACAAGUCAAAGGCAGAAGAAAAAGAACUUAAAACUGAGAAAGGGGUAGUAGAAAAGUUUCUGUAAUGAAGAAGAGUUGAAAACUAAAUAACAAAAAUGGUUUUGAAUUUUGUGGGGUGACACAUUGUGAAUAAUUUUUUAUCAUUAAAACCUUUUUAUGUAGCAUGUAACCCACUCAAAUAAAGAGCUCAAG
rnacentral:lncRNA from 1 species